UACAGAGGUGGCAAGCGUUGUUCGGAAUUACUGGGCGUAAAGGGCGCGUAGGCGGUCCCGUCAGUCCCUUGUGAAAUCCCCCGGCUCAACUGGGGAACUGCAAGGGAUACAGCGGGGCUUGAGUUCGGGAGAGGGAAGCGGAAUUCCGGGUGUAGCGGUGAAAUGCGUAGAUAUCUGGAGGAACACCGGUGGCGAAGGCGGCGUUCUGGACUGCAACUGACACUGAGAGACGAAAGCCAGGGGAGCAAACGGG
rnacentral:rRNA from 1 species